rnacentral:rRNA from 1 species
UACGAAGGGGGCUAGCGUUGCUCGGAAUUACUGGGCGUAAAGCGCACGUAGGCGGCUUUCUAAGUCGGGGGUGAAAGCCUGUGGCUCAACCACAGAAUUGCCUUCGAUACUGUUUGGCUUGAGACCGGAAGAGGUAAGUGGAACUGCGAGUGUAGAGGUGAAAUUCGUAGAUAUUCGCAAGAACACCAGUGGCGAAGGCGGCUUACUGGUCCGGUUCUGGACGCUGAGGCGCGAAAAGCGUG